CCGGGUGCCACGGACGCGCGCUGAUGACGCGCCAAGGGAAGAGGAAGUCGGGCUCCAAGAGCGGGUGGGUGCACCUCGGGCCGCGGGACUCGCCGCUGUUGCUGCCGCCGCCUCUACAGCCGCGUCAGAACUGAGAAGAGGAAGGGGAGGAGCCGAGUGGAGCCUAAGCUGCCGCCGGAUCCUACCCCUGACCCGAGGGCGGCGGGGAGAGUGUGCUCUGUAGCGGUUUCCUUCCGAGCAGGUGGUGACUGCUCCUUGGAGAGCAAGGAGGAGGCCUGGGCCGCCCGGCUGCGGUCGGGCGCGCACCACCCGAAGGUGAGGCAUUUGGCCCCCAGACGGUCCUUCGGAGAGCCCAGCUGAGCGAGAAGUUAUCUUACAGCUCUGCCCGCUGCACCUGCUGGAGGGAGCGAGCGCCCCACCCUUUCCGCGGUGUGGAGCGAGACUCAGCGCCAGAUAACGCGUGGUCGGGCCGAGCAAAUGUUUGAUGAAUGAAAGAAUGCCUCACUCGUGGAGUGCAGAGGAGUCCGACGGAAGUGCAAGCGCCUUGCCGACUGCGUAGCGUUGUCAAGAUGAGCGUUGUCAGGCGUCCCUCUUCCCUCAGUCCCCCCGCCUCCGGAGGAAGUGGGGGUGCGGCUUGAGUGAGGAGUCACAGGCUGAGUCUAGCGAAACAGGAGGCGAAUUGCCGGGACGAGGGAGGGGAGCCAUCCUCCCGGAACUGUGGAAGGGUUUUUUUACUUUUUCAAGAGGGCGAAUUUAGUAGCGACUCCCUUUUAGGACUCAGUCUUGCUUGUGGCUUGGUGCCUGGGAGAGCUGGUGUUGGCUGUUAAUCACUGUCCAUUACCGUCGUCAAGAAACGUUGGCCUGUGUGUCAGAUAAACAUGAUUACUCUUUAUGCAGCUUUUCCUAGAAAUGUUAUCCUGGAAAGUAAAUUCACGUAAAAACUCAUCAGGUUGAACGUAGUUCUCUAGGCAAAGAAAUUUUAAAAUAAAAGGACCAGAUCCUCAGAAAUCUGUCUUGAACCUGGCCUGGUGCAUAGUGUGAGAAUGAGAUAAAAGCAGUAAGGAUGAAAGGAAGCAGAUUCCACAGUACUGUCUCUGGACCCUGGACACCGUACCUCCUCUGGAAGCGUCAGUGUUUUUUGUUUAGAGUCAGUGAUAUUUUAAGACUGGAGGAAGAUGAGACCCAGAGAAAUUAAAUGACUUACCCAGGGUCAGAAGAGCAAGUGAAAAGGAAGCCUGGACGCAGCCCCAAGUCUUCAAAUAGAGCACGCUUGCUUCAUAGCACACUGACCCUCAGUCUUCUGGAGAAGUGAGUUGGGGCUCAAAUUUUAAUCUACCUUUGGAUUCCUUAAUUUGGAAACUGGAGUGGAUUCAAAACGAGACUGCAGGAAUUGAGAGUCACAACCUACCAGAGCAGCCAGAACACAGCACUAAUCGUGGGAAGCAAAGGACAGAAAGAUUCCUGAGACCCAGCAAAAUGCCAAGCAAGAAGCAAGAAACAGCUGGCUGCCCAGACUGUCCCAGGACCGUGCUGGUGAUGGAAAGGCUCUCUGUGGGCUUCUUUCUUACCAUCCCCUUGAUAGACUGCAGUUGUCAGAGGGAAAGACAGGCAGGCAUCUCAUAGGAAAGUCUUUCAGUGUAAAGAAAAGCCACCCAUCAGCAGCAGCUCACAGGGACAGCAAAAUGCCCAACUUCUUGGCAUUUGGGAUUUUCCAGGAAAGAUAGGCUAACUUGAAAACAAAGUCUGUUUUUAGGAUAUGUGCAAGUGCCUUCAGGGAAGCUGUUUGGGUGAAGUAGGUGUUCCCCGCCCCAAAUAGCUGGUUUGUUUGGUGAGCUGUAGGGGCAUAUUGGGUGCAGCUAAAUUGAUCUGAACAAUUUUCAAUCUUACAUCAUAAAAAAUAGUAUGGAGCAAAGCCUUCUGCCUUUAGGGAAUGAAGUACUCAUUUCUCAAUUGGUCAUUGAGAGUUAACAGCAGAUUGAGUGAGCAACCCCUGAAAAGAGGAGACAUUGGCUUAAUUCCGUGUUGUUACAGAGCUCAGCAUGCAGGUUGAUAUACACAGGGAGAGGUUGGCAGGCAGCUCCUUCACAUAAUAAUAUUCAUUCUUCUGAAUGGCUCAUUAAUAUUGUAUAUAUUCCUCUUUGGCCGUGCCCUCAUGUCUCCUCUCUGGACUGAGUCAGGCUCCCAGGACUCAGAGGUAAAAAAGAAGAGAAAGGAUAGAUGUGGAUUUUCAUGGAGUCGACGGCAGGCUGCUGUUUAUGACAGCUCCACGGCCAUGAAAAAUGUCAAGGAAACAAAAUAGGAAGACAAAUCCGUGGCAGGAAUUGGUUUCGGAUAACCAGUCAGCUGAUUAUCUCCUGAGUCUACGCCCCGUGCAUCUUGAUGGGGAAACUGAGGCCAGGGCAGAGAAGCAGCUUUCCCAAAGUCAACCAGCCCAUUAGCGGUAGAUGCAGAACCAAGCAGCAGAGAAAAUGCGGGGGUGCUCUCGCUGCAGAGAGGGUUUGGGGCUCUCUGGAUGCAGCACUUUCUCAGGCUCGACUCUUUUCUGAACCAGUGAUGAGUUUUAACAUGCAAAUACCUGCAGAGAUAACCACGACGGACAUCUAUAAUAAGAUGUAGAUUUCUGCAUUGGAGAGGAGCCUCUGCAAGAAGAGGAAAUGACUUCAGGUAGAUGAUGUGUUUAAAGGAGCAAGAAUUAACCUCUAAAUCAAAGACUCGAGGACUGCCAUAUUGAUGCGAGGGCCCAUCCAGGAAAUCUGUUCUUUUUAGACCAGGUGAAUCUCCGCGGAGGCCGCUCACUGCACAGUGGAGUUCCAUCCCCCAGGACUUUCCAUCCAAAUGAAGAGGAAACCAGUGGUCAGUGGUCUCAUCUUGGGACACACGGGACCAAACGCUGUGACACUGUCCCUUGGUCCCAAGUAGGAUGGGGGGCGGCGGGGGCCAGGGCUGGCUGCGGGGAACUCUUGUCUCAUCCUUCACACCUUUCCGGCCUCAGUGAAAUCCAACUCCCCCUAAAACCCAGUUCCCCCAUCAAGCUUAGGAUGAAUCUCUCCAUCCAAAACUUCCUUCCCUUUCUUGUCCUCUCUGACCUCCAUCCUGUGCUAACCAGACACGAAUCCACCAGAGUUGAGUAACUACAAUCGCGGUUGUUGUGAACAUUGUUGAUGCACUAACAUUUCGGGUGUAGAAACCAUCAGUAAUGCACAAACUCACGUUGUUUCUCCAGGGCAAGGUGAGCUCACAGGCACCUCCAGACCAGCCCAGCCCAGCCCAGCCCUGGGUCGCCUUGCCACAGAACUGCAAACCAGGGCUCCCCAAACCACGGUGAAGAAAUGUCACAGAAAUGUCAGGAGCCCUUGAUUAAUCCCAGCCCCUUUGUUCUUUUCCUUUAACAACACCCCUGAUUCAAAGACCCCGGUGGAGUGGCUCUGAAGCUUGCCAUGCCCCUUGCUGGGCGCUCUGCAAGAAACCUUUACUUUGCUGCCAACUCCCCACCACCGAAACCUGGCUUCCUGUGUGGUGGACAACACAGGAGCCCUUCGUCCUGUUACAUCAGCUUUUCCUCUUUCCUCAGAGAUGCUUCCCUGACCACCCCCCCCCCGCCCCCCCGUCCGAAGCAGGGCCCAUCUCUCUUGCUCUUUCCAAGCUCAGCUCCUUGCUUGCUUGCUCCUUCACAGCAUCUGCCACACUUCAUCAUUGAGCAGUUCCUCUGUUCAAUUCUCUCUCUCUUUUUUUUUUUUUUUUUUUGCUUUUUGGGGCCACACCUGAAGCAUAUGGAAGUUCCCAGGGCAGGGGUCAAAUCGGAGCUGCUGCUGCUGGCCUACACCACAGCCACGGCAAUGCCAGAUCUGAGCCACAUCUGCAACCUACCACAGCUCACGGCAAUGCCAGAUCCUUAACCCGCUGAGGGAGCCGGGCCAGGGAUCAAACCCACAUCCUGAUGGAUACUAGUCGGGUUCAUUUCCACUGCGUCACAACGGGAACUCCAUGUUCAAUUCUCUUUUGUCUGUCUCUCCCACUUGACCGUAGUUCCCCAAGCCCUGCGAUCCAUCUGCCUUGCUCAUUGUGACAUACCCACCUCCCCAUCCAGCUUGCACAGUCCCCAAUAACACUGUGUAAAUAUUUAUGGAAUAAAUGAACAGGUCUUCAUCUGCA